UGAUGCAAAAGUUUUCUUUGUAUAUACAAUAGAAUUAUUGCACAUAUAAGGUAAAAGCUUUGAGUAAAGUCUCGCAUUAGUUAAUCGGAAAGGAGGAGUAGGUAAAACUACAGCCAGGUAAAUUUAUCAACAGCUUUUGCUGCGGUAAAUAAAACACCUUACUAAUAGAUCUUGAACCCCAGGGAAAUGCAAGUAUUAGACUUGGUUUCUAAUAUAGAAAUCGCACGAAAAUAUAUAACGUACUUGUAAAUAAUAAAUCUAUAUCAUCUUUAACUCUGAUC